AUUGAACGCUGGCGGCAGGCUUAACACAUGCAAGUCGAGCGGAGAUGAGGUGCUUGCACCUUAUCUUAGCGGCGGACGGGUGAGUAAUGCUUAGGAAUCUGCCUAUUAGUGGGGGACAACAUUCCGAAAGGAAUGCUAAUACCGCAUACGUCCUACGGGAGAAAGCAGGGGAUCUUCGGACCUUGCGCUCAUAGAUGAGCCUAAGUCGGAUUAGCUAGUUGGUGGGGUAAAGGCCUACCAAGGCGACGAGCUGUAGCGGGUCUGAGAGGAUGAUCCGACACACUGGGACUGAGACACGGCCCAGACUCCUACGGGAGGCAGCAGUGGGGAAUAUUGGACAAUGGGGGAAACCCUGAUCCAGCCAUGCCGCGUGUGUGAAGAAGGCCUUAUGGUUGUAAAGCACUUUAAGCGAGGAGGAGGCUACUGAGACUAAUACUCUUGGAUAGUGGACGUUACUCGCAGAAUAAGCACCGGCUAACUCUGUGCCAGCCGCCGCGGUAA
rnacentral:rRNA from 1 species